CCCCCCCCCCGAUUGCGCAACAGGUCGACCUCCUCCUCCUUCCCAUCUUGCGGAUUGUCUCGGGUCCAGAGCAGGGCAGAAUCAUCAUCAGGGUGGGAGGACGAGGACCAGAGGGGGCUCCCAAACCUCGUCAGGAAGGUCACCAGCUGCAGCCUACCAGGAGGGGCGUGAAGGGGAGGCUGGCAGACAGGUAACACCAGACACCAACGCAAACAACAACAGCAGCAGUGCCAGUAUCCGAGGGGCGCCUGGGGAGCUGGAGUCUCCCAGCCCCACCUGCUAUAAGCAGCCAAUCCCAAGCACUAAGGACCUGGGCAGAGCAGGUGGGAUCUUCCCUCUCCCCUGGGUGGCCUGGACUCUGCUGCCAGCCGGAAGUGGAGGAGGGCAGCAAUGACAAGCUGGACAGGGAAGUGGAAGAGGCUCUGGAGGAUUGUGUGGAGCGGGCGGAUCCUGGGACACAGCCUGGCUCAAAGGACCCAGGGAUAUUCCACACAAACUUGGUGAAACACUGAAGCACUUCAGGCUCCAGCCAAUUCCUGAGAACCUGUCAGAUGUCAACAUUCAUACUAAGAGGAAGAAGAAACUCCUGCUGACCACAUCAUCGCACUAAAAAUUUCUGUCAAUUGAUGCAUUGCUAGAUGUUGUCCUCUGGAAUUUUGUGGGUCAUUAUACACCCUGUGAGGCUGUUUGAAGUCAACUUGGCUCUGCACCUGUGGUCCUGGGCCACUGCACCAUGGGCCUCACUCACGUGGACCAUACAGGUGGACAAACAGCAUUUUUGGUUAUGAAAAUAGCUAGAAGUGCUUCCCACACAAUUGACCAUUACAGGGAAUGUCCUGUGGCACUUUGCAUCUUGUCAGACAACAGUCCUCAACACUAUAAGGUGAGCUUGUAUAUACAGACAACAGUACACAAGGUCAGCUCUUUCUCAAAAAAAAAUAUAGGGGUUGGCCACAUUUUAUUUCCCAGUAUGUCAUCCUGCAGCUAGUGGUGCAGGCUGUACAAACCUACAAGGAGGCCAGGACAGAACAGGAUUCCAGUCCAUUCUUGCUUCCCAAACAUUGACUCACACCUUCUUGGCAAAAUGGAACACACCUCAUAGGGUGACCAAAUUUUAUUUGGAAAAAAAACACAUCCUUGCAGUUACCUGGUCUUGCUCAAGCCUGAUUUAUCUUCCAUUGUUUCCAAACUAACUGCAAGCGUUGAGAGCUCAAGGUAAGAUAACAGGCCUGUUUGGAUAUUCUAUCCUAGGGAGAGGGGAUGACCUAUUAUUUCAGACACCUAAAGCACUUGUAGGCUCCUGGAGAGAUCAACAAACAGAAGGAUCCUUUGACCUACAGAGUACCAGUGGAAAAUAGACAUGUUCACACUCGCGUGGACCAGCUCUUAUCUCCACAGCCUCCAACACUGCUCACACAUAUUCUUCCUGACCAAGAAGGAGGCACACAGGAAUUCGCUCCAGCUUGUGAGACUAGCAGAACCUGUUCCACAGGUUAACGAUUGUCUGUCCUCACCAGCAUCUGGUACCUGAGUAGAGAUGCCCACUGCAGUAAUGGAAGAUGGCAGAGACUUGCUCUUUAAACUGGAGAUACCUGACUGUGCUUUGUUAGUUAGCAACAAGUUCUGUAAGUGGGCAGAAUAAUUCCCUGAAGUUGUUCUGGGGUUGAACACCUACUUCAGCCCAGCUGUGAGUGACUAUUGUAUUUUGUGUUAAGUAGUUAUAGCUUGUGUGCUCUUGUUAGGCCAAUUUUAAUCUAAGGGCAGAGAUGUAGUAUACUGAGUGUGCAACAUUAUGUUUGUCUGCCUUGGGUUGCUGUACUUCAGACUCAUCAGCAAUUAAACAGAGGGAAUCAGGAGGAGAAAUAAAGA